rnacentral:rRNA from 1 species
UUAAGCGACUAAGCGUACACGGUGGAUGCCCUGGCAGUCAGAGGCGAUGAAGGACGUGCUAAUCUGCGAUAAGCGUCGGUAAGGUGAUAUGAACCGUUAUAACCGGCGAUUUCCGAAUGGGGAAACCCAGUGUGUUUCGACACACUAUCAUUAACUGAAUCCAUAGGUUAAUGAGGCGAACCGGGGGAACUGAAACAUCUAAGUACCCCGAGGAAAAGAAAUCAACCGAGAUUCCCCCAGUAGCGGCGAGCGAACGGGGAGCAGCCCAGAGCCUGAAUCAGUGUGUGUGUUAGUGGAAGCGUCUGGAAAGGCGCGCGAUACAGGGUGACAGCCCCGUACACAAAAAUGCACAUGCUGUGAGCUCGAUGAGUAGGGCGGGACACGUGGUAUCCUGUCUGAAUAUGGGGGGACCAUCCUCCAAGGCUAAAUACUCCUGACUGACCGAUAGUGAACCAGUACCGUGAGGGAAAGGCGAAAAGAACCCCGGCGAGGGGAGUGAAAAAGAACCUGAAACCGUGUACGUACAAGCAGUGGGAGCACGCUUAGGCGUGUGACUGCGUACCUUUUGUAUAAUGGGUCAGCGACUUAUAUUCUGUAGCAAGGUUAACCGAAUAGGGGAGCCGAAGGGAAACCGAGUCUUAACUGGGCGUUAAGUUGCAGGGUAUAGACCCGAAACCCGGUGAUCUAGCCAUGGGCAGGUUGAAGGUUGGGUAACACUAACUGGAGGACCGAACCGACUAAUGUUGAAAAAUUAGCGGAUGACUUGUGGCUGGGGGUGAAAGGCCAAUCAAACCGGGAGAUAGCUGGUUCUCCCCGAAAGCUAUUUAGGUAGCGCCUCGUGAACUCAUCUCCGGGGGUAGAGCACUGUUUCGGCAAGGGGGUCAUCCCGACUUACCAACCCGAUGCAAACUGCGAAUACCGGAGAAUGUUAUCACGGGAGACACACGGCGGGUGCUAACGUCCGUCGUGAAGAGGGAAACAACCCAGACCGCCAGCUAAGGUCCCAAAGUCAUGGUUAAGUGGGAAACGAUGUGGGAAGGCCCAGACAGCCAGGAUGUUGGCUUAGAAGCAGCCAUCAUUUAAAGAAAGCGUAAUAGCUCACUGGUCGAGUCGGCCUGCGCGGAAGAUGUAACGGGGCUAAACCAUGCACCGAAGCUGCGGCAGCGACGCUGAUGCGUUGUUGGGUAGGGGAGCGUUCUGUAAGCCUGUGAAGGUGUGCUGUGAGGCAUGCUGGAGGUAUCAGAAGUGCGAAUGCUGACAUAAGUAACGAUAAAGCGGGUGAAAAGCCCGCUCGCCGGAAGACCAAGGGUUCCUGUCCAACGUUAAUCGGGGCAGGGUGAGUCGACCCCUAAGGCGAGGCCGAAAGGCGUAGUCGAUGGGAAACAGGUUAAUAUUCCUGUACUUGGUGUUACUGCGAAGGGGGGACGGAGAAGGCUAUGUUGGCCGGGCGACGGUUGUCCCGGUUUAAGCGUGUAGGCUGGUUUUCCAGGCAAAUCCGGAAAAUCAAGGCUGAGGCGUGAUGACGAGGCACUACGGUGCUGAAGCAACAAAUGCCCUGCUUCCAGGAAAAGCCUCUAAGCAUCAGGUAACAUCAAAUCGUACCCCAAACCGACACAGGUGGUCAGGUAGAGAAUACCAAGGCGCUUGAGAGAACUCGGGUGAAGGAACUAGGCAAAAUGGUGCCGUAACUUCGGGAGAAGGCACGCUGAUAUGUAGGUGAAGUCCCUCGCGGAUGGAGCUGAAAUCAGUCGAAGAUACCAGCUGGCUGCAACUGUUUAUUAAAAACACAGCACUGUGCAAACACGAAAGUGGACGUAUACGGUGUGACGCCUGCCCGGUGCCGGAAGGUUAAUUGAUGGGGUCAGCGCAAGCGAAGCUCUUGAUCGAAGCCCCGGUAAACGGCGGCCGUAACUAUAACGGUCCUAAGGUAGCGAAAUUCCUUGUCGGGUAAGUUCCGACCUGCACGAAUGGCGUAAUGAUGGCCAGGCUGUCUCCACCCGAGACUCAGUGAAAUUGAACUCGCUGUGAAGAUGCAGUGUACCCGCGGCAAGACGGAAAGACCCCGUGAACCUUUACUAUAGCUUGACACUGAACAUUGAGCCUUGAUGUGUAGGAUAGGUGGGAGGCUUUGAAGUGUGGACGCCAGUCUGCAUGGAGCCGACCUUGAAAUACCACCCUUUAAUGUUUGAUGUUCUAACGUGGACCCGUGAUCCGGGUUGCGGACAGUGUCUGGUGGGUAGUUUGACUGGGGCGGUCUCCUCCUAAAGAGUAACGGAGGAGCACGAAGGUUGGCUAAUCCUGGUCGGACAUCAGGAGGUUAGUGCAAUGGCAUAAGCCAGCUUGACUGCGAGCGUGACGGCGCGAGCAGGUGCGAAAGCAGGUCAUAGUGAUCCGGUGGUUCUGAAUGGAAGGGCCAUCGCUCAACGGAUAAAAGGUACUCCGGGGAUAACAGGCUGAUACCGCCCAAGAGUUCAUAUCGACGGCGGUGUUUGGCACCUCGAUGUCGGCUCAUCACAUCCUGGGGCUGAAGUAGGUCCCAAGGGUAUGGCUGUUCGCCAUUUAAAGUGGUACGCGAGCUGGGUUUAGAACGUCGUGAGACAGUUCGGUCCCUAUCUGCCGUGGGCGCUGGAGAACUGAGGGGGGCUGCUCCUAGUACGAGAGGACCGGAGUGGACGCAUCACUGGUGUUCGGGUUGUCAUGCCAAUGGCACUGCCCGGUAGCUAAAUGCGGAAGAGAUAAGUGCUGAAAGCAUCUAAGCACGAAACUUGCCCCGAGAUGAGUUCUCCCUGACCCUUUAAGGGUCCUGAAGGAACGUUGAAGACGACGACGUUGAUAGGCCGGGUGUGUAAGCGCAGCGAUGCGUUGAGCUAACCGGUACUAAUGAACCGUGAGGCUUAACCUU